rnacentral:lncRNA from 1 species
CUCCGCCUUUGCCGGAUGCACGGGGGGUAUGGUCACUAGUGUAACCAGGGGGUGAGGCCUCAUUUAACACAGUAAAUUCAUCAGGCUUAAGCCAUGUUUCAGUCAGGCCAAUCACAUCAAGAUUAUUAUCAGUGAUUAGUUCAUUGACUAUAACUGCCUUGGAAGUGAGGGAUCUAACAUUAAGUAACCCAAUUUUGAGAUGUGAGGUAUCACAAUAUCUUUCAAUAAUGGCAGGAAUGGAGGAGGUCUUUAUACUAGUGAGAUUGCUAAAGCGAACACUGCCAUUUUUAAUUUUGCCCAACCUAGAUCGAGGCACAGACACGUUCUCAAUGGGGAAAGCUGAGCUGACUACGCUGACUGUGCUAGUGGCAGAAAACAUUUAUGAGGUGAAAAGUUGUGUUUAUACAACAAAGCCCAGAAAAUUAAAGCCUGCUUGUGAAAAGCCGGCAGUUUCACAGGAAGUUUACCCACAAUAUAUGGACAUUGUAGUAAAAAAUUAAGCCCUCCGAACUUCUGAAAAACAAAAUGAGGUAUAAUAUUCCAGAAACUAUGAGGAUUUUUCUGUACCUUUUUAAUCCAGUUGACCUUUAUCUGAUUGAAGAGAGUGAAGUCUAAGACAUUUAGAUCGCCAUCACAAACCUUGUUGGUGAUAACAUCUCUUUUUAUCUUAUAUGGCUUGUUUUUCCAUAUGAAGUUGUACAAAAGCCUAUCUAAGGUACAGCAAGUGGAUUUGGGAAUGUCAAUAGAUGAAAAAAAGAGCCCAUCAGCUUUGGAUAAAAGCACCCUUCCUUGAAGACUUAAAUCCCUCACUAACCAUGAGGAUAAAGACAGAUUCAGUUACAGGGUUCAAAUUAAGAUCAUUCACAGCCUUAAGAUUUUUGGUGAUCUUUACACCGAGGUAGUUUACAGUAUCUUUUUCAGAGAUGUUACAAUCUGCUGGAUUGACAGCUCCUUUCAAAACAAACAUCUCACAUUUGGAAAGAUUUAAUGCCAAACACGAGAUUUUGGAGAACUGCUUCACAAUAUCCAAUGCUAAUCUAGCUUGUGACACAUUUAAAAAAAAAAAGGUGAGUUAUCAUCCGCCAGUUGGGAUAUCUUGAUCUCUCUGGCCUGGAAUGUAAUGCCUUCAAAUGAACUUUUAUGAACUAAAGAGCAUAACAUUUAAGAUACUAACAAAAAUAAAAAAGGUGAAAUUGGACAACCUUGUCGUAUUCUUUUGUAAAUGUUAAACCAGAGUUUGAUACAGCUAUUGCCACCAUUAUACAGAGUUCUAAUAGCAUCAACAAAAAAACGACCAAAUUUCAAAUGCUUAAGACAAUCAAAGAUAAAAUUGUGACUUACUGUAUCAAAUGCUUUCUGAAAAUCCCAAAAUAGGAUAACAGGGAAGUCAUCCAAUAGAUCACAAUACUCAACCAAGUCUAACACCAGCCUCAGAUUAUCAGAUAUAUGGCGCCCUUUCAUAAACCCUGAUUGACAUUCAUCAAUCAGAUCAUUCAAGCCAGACUUUAACCUUUUUGCAAAGACUAAGGCUAUAAUUUUGUAGUCAUUAUUUAGGAGUGUGAUUGGACGGCAAUUAUCAAUAUUUAAGAGAUCCUGUUGGGAGAGACGGACCAAGGUGCAGCGUAAUUGGAGUUCCACAUCUUUAUUUUAGUGAAACUUAAACAAACCAAGAAACAAACAACGACCAUGAAGUACCAUAGUGCUACAUGCACUCACUCAAAACAAUAUCCCACAAAACACAGGUGGGAAACAGGCUACCUAAAUAUGAUCCACAAUUAGAGGCAACGAUUACCAGCUGCCUCUAAUUGGGAACCAUACAACUCACCAACAUAGAAAUACAAUGACUAGAACACCCCCCUAGUCACACUCUGACCUAAACACCAAGGGCUCUCUAUGUUCAGGGCGUGACAGUACCCCCCCUCUGCACUGGCGCAGAGGAAUACUCCGGCCCUGGAGCGGGACUGGAUGCCGUGCCUGGACGCCGUGCCUGGACUGGGCACCGGCGCAGAGGAAGGCUCCGGCCAUGGAACGGGACUGGACGCCGUGCCUGGACUGGGCCCCGGCACAGAGAAAGGCUCCUGCCAUGGAGUGGGACUGGACGCCGUGCCUGGACGCCAUGCCUGGACUGGGCACCGGCGCAGAGGAAGGCUCCGGCCAUGGAACGGGACUGGACGCCGUGCCUGGACUGGGCCCCGGCGCAGAGAAAGGCUCCUGCCAUGGAGCGGGACUGGACAUCGUGCCUGGACUGGGCACCGGCGCAGAGAAAGGCUCCUGCCCUGGCACUGGCGCAGGAAGCUCCGGGCCGUGGACCAUCAUUGGAAGCUCCAGACAGUGGACUGUCGCUGGAAGCUCCGGGCCGUUGACCGUCGCUGGAAGCUCCGGGCCGUUGACCGUCGCUGGAAGCUCCGGGCCGUUGACCGUCGCUGGAAGCUCCGGGCCGUGAACCGUCGCUGGAAGCUCCGGGCUGUAGACCGUCGCUGGAAGCUCCGGGCUGUAGACCGUCGCUGGAGUCUUAGUGCAUGGAGCCAGUACAGGUGACACCGGACUGGUGACACGCACUUCUGGGUGAGUACGAGGAGCUGGCACAGGACGUACCCAACUGGGGAGGCGCACUGGAGGCCUGGUGCGUGGAGCCAGCACAGGUGGCACCAGACUGUUGACACGCACUUCAGGGCGAAUGCGGGGAGCUGGCACAGGACGUACCAGACUGGGGAGGAGCACUGGAGGCUUGGUGCGUGGAGCCGGCACAGGUGGCACCGGACUGGUGAUACGCACUUCAGGGCGAGUGCGGGGAGCUGGCACAUGAUGUACCGGACUGGGGAGGCGCACUGGAGGCCUGGUGCGUGGAGCCAGCACAGGUGGCACCGGACUGUUGACAUGCACUUCAGGGCGAGUGCGGGGAGCUGGCACAGGACAUACCAGACUGGGGAGGCGCACUGGAGGCCUAGUGCGUGGAGCCGGCACAGGUGGCACCAGACUGUUGACACGCACUUCGCCUCCCUGACGGUCUCUGGCUCUUCAGGGCGAGUGCGAGGAGCUGGCACAGAUGGCACCAGACUGGUGUCACGCUCUUCAGCACGCCUGUGCUGCAGCAUACUCCUAGCCAAAACCUCUCUCCUGUAUCCCUCAUUGAACUCCUCCAGAGACUCCCAUUCGGGCUCUGGCACUCUCCGCUACUCAGCCGUCCGCCCCAUGUGCCCCCCCCAAAAAAAAUCUUGGGGUUUCUGUGGCCGCAGUCCCCGGCGUUGUCGCUGUCCUUCCUGCGUCCUCUGCGACUUCCGCCAAGGAAGGGUCUCGUGUCCUCCCAUGAUCUCCUCCCAUGUCCAAAACUCCUUUAUCUCAUGAACACGCUGCUUGGUCCUUGUGUGGUGGGAUAUUCUGUCAUGGCUGUUGGGAGAGACGGACCAAGGCGCAGCGUGAUUGGAGUUCCACAUCUUUAUUUUAGUGAAACUUAAACAAACCAAGAAACAAACAACGACCGUGAAGUACCAUAGUGCUACAUGCACUCACUCAAAACAAUAUCCCACAAAACACAGGUGGGAAACAGGCUACCUAAAUAUGAUCCCUAAUUAGAGGCAACGAUUACCAGCUGCCUCUAAUUGGGAACCAUACAGCUCACCAACAUACAAAUACAAUGACUAGAACACCCCCCUAGUCACGCUCUGACCUAAACACCAUAGAGAACCAAGGGCUCUCUAUGGUCAGGGCGUGACAAACCCCUUGCUUCAGAGAUGCAGUUAGUUCUCCCUUUAUAGCCUCCUUAAAGGUUUCAAGUAAAAAUUGUGCUAUUUCUUCAGAGAAGGUUUUGUAAAAUUCAGAGGUUAAUCCAUCACAACCUGGAGAUUUGUUAUUUUUUAACUGAGCAACCCCGUACUGGAUGUCCAUAAUGGAUAAAUCUUGACAACAAGACUUCACUAACCGAAUUAACAUUCUCUAUAGAAUCAAGGAGAUCCUUAGAGUCACUCAAAUUGUUAUCUAAGGAGUAAAGAUUCUCAUAAAAUGUAGUGUUAAAGUCUGAUAACAACUCUCUAUCCUCAGUGGUAAGCCCAUUAAUCUUAAGUUUCCGAAGUGUGUUGAGUUCCCCUCUCCUCUUUUCCAAAUUAAAAAAGUAUCUACUGUUCUUUUCGCCUUUUUCAAGCCAUUGUUUUCUGGAUCUUAUGAAAGCUCCUCUAGUCUUUUCCUCAUACAAUGUAUCUAGUUGAUUCUGUAAAUCAUUCAAUUUAGCUUUCUCAUUAAGAUCAAGAUGCUCAAUCUCUGUGACAUCCGCAAUUGUCUUAGAGAGUUCAGCUACCUCACAUCUCCUUAAAGCAAGCCGUUUUCCAUAAGUAAUACAGGCUGAGUGGAUUUUAAAUUUCAGCAGUUCCCAAUAUUUCCCAUAUUCUGCAUUAGAUGUAGCUAAACUCCAGUAAACAGAAAUUAGAUUCUUAAUCACAUUUUUUAAAUCAUCAUGCAAUAACAAUGAGUUAUGUAAUUUCCAAUAACCACCAGAGUAUUUCUUACCAUCAUUACUGCAUAAUUCUUACAGUCAACCAUAUGACUUUAUGAUCCGUCAGGACUGCAGGCUGUAUUUUGACCUCUACAGUGUUGGGCUCAAGACUAGAGGAUAUCACCCACAAAUCAAUUCUUCAUUGUAAGGAACGAUCUCUAUUACUCCAUGUGUAUUGUUUCUCUCCAGGGUUUUUAACUCUCCAUAUGUCAAUUAAAUCCAGGCUUUGGUAGUAAUUCACCAAUUUGUUCACACCAAUGUUAGGCCUAUGGGGCAAUCUAUCAGUCUCAUUAGAAUAAACCAUAUUAAAAUCUCCAUCAACUAUAAUCUGACUGGAUGGAUAUUUUCUCAGAAGACUUUUAAGAAUUUCUUCAAUUUCCUCUAGAAGUAAGUUAUUUGGAGGACUUGAACAGUAUCCAUAUACAUUACACAACACAAAUAAUCUGUCCAUGUGGUUGAUGACCGCUACUAGCCAAUGUCCAUUGGAGUCCAUUUGAGUAAACAAAAAUGUACGAAUGAUUAGUCCCGUGGGCCAAAGAAAUGACAUUGCCCCACUGAUUUUUCCAAUAAUUAUAGUCCUCUUUGCAUGAAUGUGUUUCUUGAACGAAUACAAGAUCUGCGUUGCAGUCCUUACAAAACAAAAAAAGCUUUUUCUCUUCAACAGGUUUCGUAUCCCCCUGGCAUUGAUUGACAUAAACUUCAAGUCCAUAUCUAUAGAAUAGAAAGAAAAAUCCUAUGCAAUCUCAACUCUACCCUCUCUAUAAAAUGUUGCUUCAUAUAUGUAUUAACAGAAGUCUUAACUUGUAAACAGUAACACCAUAAUUCAAAACUAGAACGCUCAGUUUGCAGUGGGGAAGGAGUUACUUUGUAAACCCACCGACAGAACAAAUCACCCCGGUCGUAUUUAUUUUCCGUCGGCGAAAAAGGCUCUAAUUCCCCUGUAGUAUCCACCCUUUCCUUGAUUUCGGGCCUGUUGUAUAAGAGGCCACAAUUUUGCCUUUGCUGCCUUGUCUGCUGCAGUCAAGUCCUCACCGAAUCUAAAUUUUCUCUCUUUCAGAAAGGCACUUUCCUUUGCUUUCUUCCAAACUGCAUCUCUCGCUGUGCAAAAAGCAAACUGGAUGAUGAUCGAGUGCCUGACGAUGGCAUCUUGCUUAUUCCCAAUACGAUGAGCGACAUCCACAGCCAUAUAUCCAUCGGGGAAGUCCGGUGCCACACGGUUACAGAUGUCUCUUACUAAGCGCUUCACAUUCUCAUCCUGGUCCUCGGGGACACCAUAAAGCCGUAGCCCCCACCUUCUCCGGUAUUGCUCUGCUUCCGAUAAGAGCUCUUGCAUGUCUGCGAUGGUCUUCUCCUGUGCAGUGCAUUUCUCAGAAGUAGCAGUGUUUGCAAGUUUAAGCGCUUCGAUACUCUUGUAUGCAUGAUUCAGAGAGGUCUCGAGGUCAACUAUUUUUUUACGUGUUUUAGCGUAUCAUUUUCUCCAGACCAUCGUCUCUUUCGUUUAUCUUUGCAGAGACAGCAUCGAUUUAUGUUGACCUGUAGUUUGCGCAAAGACAAUUCCUUCUGGGUCUUUUUGGGUGCGGGACUAUUGACUGGAUUUUCAGAAUCAACCGAAUGUCCAGAAUCCUCCAUUUCUUCUCCUGAGGAGUCAGGUGUCGGUUUUUCUCCAACGUAUGAGUGCUCAGCUUGCAACUGCCUUCUCCUCCCUUUGCUCUUUCGCACAGUUUUUUCUUCCAUUUCUCAAAGUUUCAGAUCAAAUUAGCGGUCAACUAAGCGUUGUUCUCUAUUGUGUUUACUAUAAGCCAAGUUCCGUUACAUUUAAGUAAGUUUGAGUGGGAUAAACGUUAAGGUUACUCGGAGCAAGCUGAAAUCUCAUCUGCACUCGCCGCCAUCUUCAGCACCCCCCGGGCCGAGCCAACUCAGUCACACACUUAGCAGCCGAGAAGACAGAGGAAGGGCAGCUAUGAAAGCAACAGCUGGAAAAUGAGUCGGAAGCACAGUAGCAGUUGGAUGCAUUUUAAUAAUGUAGACAAUGUUAGAGCACAGUGUAGAAUUUGCCAAAACAAAAUCUCAUAUAAAGCCGGUUCUACGCAAAACCUAGACCGGCAUAUGCGAACUGUGCACCCAACUGUGAAGCUAGCUGUAGCGGAGCUUCGAGAAACUAGCGGGCCUGCUAGUGAUAGUGGUGGAGCCUGCACCUCCACAUGUGGAGAUGUAUCCACUCAGUCAAGUAGGCCUACUCCGUGACCCACAGAAACGCAGUCUUCUAUGGACCAGUUUAUGCCAAUGUCUGUAGCAAAACAAGGCCAAAUUGAUAUUGCAUUGGCUAAAAUGAUUGCCACUGAUUUCCAGCCAUUUUCGAACAUAGAGGACAGAGGUUUUAGAAAUUAUAGCAAUAGUCUAAAUCCAAUGUACACAAUUCCAAGCAGGAAAACCCUUUUAAAAUCACCUGAUUGUAAGAGAUGCUCUGAAGGUGAUGAAGCCCACUGUGGACAAAGUGAAAGCAGCUGUGGAAUACUUCCACCACAGGAGCACAGUAAGUGCUGAAAAACUAGUCUACACAAUGCCAGAUGGGGAUGCCUGAGCUGAGGCCUAAACAAGACUGCACUACAAGGUGGAAUUCAACAUUGUAUAUGUUGAAGCGGCUUCUUGAGUCAAAGGAUGCCAUCAUCUCUACCCUGGCCAUUGUCACAAUGCACCUGUUGAUGCUCUGGCCCAAGAGGAAUGGGAGGUGGUGAAUGAGGUGUGCAGAGUCCUGGAACCCUUUGAGCAGGUCACUGUGGAGAUCAGUGGAGAGAGGUACAGUAAGCAGUUAUUACUACAUCAUUAUUUAAUCCAGUAUUAUAUACAGUGGGGGAAAAAAGUAUUUGAUCCCCUGCUGAUUUUGUACGUUUGCCCACUUACAAAGAAAUGAUCAGUCUAUAAUUUUAAUAGUAGGUUUAUUUGAACAGUGAAAGACAGAAUAACAACAAACCAAUCCAGAAAAACGCAUGUCAGAAAUGUUAUAAAAUUAUUUGCAUUUUAAUGAGGGAAAUAAGUAUUUGACCCCUCUGCAAAACAUGACUUAGUACUUGGUGGCAAAACCCUUGUUGGCAAUCACAGAUGUCAGAUGUUUCUUGUAGUUGGCCACCAGGUCUGCACACAUCUCAGGAGGGAUUUUGUCCCACUCCUCUUUGCAGAUCUUCUCCAAGUCAUUAAGGUUUCGAGGCUGACGUUUGGCAACUCGAACCUUCAGCUCCCUCCACAGAUUUCCUAUGGGAUUAAGGUCUGGAGACUGGCUAGGCCACUCCAGGACCUUAAUGUGCUUCUUCUUGAGCCACUCCUUUGUUGCCUUGGCCGUGUGUUUUGGGUCAUUGUCAUGCUGGAAUACCCAUCCACGACCCAUUUUCAAUGCCCUGGCUGAGGGAAGUUGUCCUAUCCCCUUAGCAGAAAAACACCCCCAAAGCAUAAUGUUUCCACCUCCAUGUUUGAUGGUGGAGAUGGUGUUCUUGGGGUCAUAAGCAGCAUUCCUCCUCCUCCAAACACAGUGAGUUGAGUUGAUGUCGAAGAGCUCCAUUUUGGUCUCAUCUGACCACAACACUUUCACCAGUUGUCCUCUGAGUCAUUCAGAUGUUCAUUGGCAGACUUCAGACAGGCCUGUAUAUGUAUUCUUGAGCAGGGGGACCUUGCGGGCGCUGCAGGAUUUCAGUCCUUCACGGCGUAGUGUGUUACCAAUUGUUUUCUUGGUGACUAUGGUCCCAGCUGCCUUGAGAUCAUUGACAAGAUCCUCCCGUGUAGUUCUGGGCUGAUUCCUCACCGUUCUCAUGAUCAUUGCAACUCCACGAGGUGAGAUCUUGCAUGGAGCCCCAGGCCGAGGGAUAUUGACAGUUAUUUUGUGUUUCUUCCAUUUGCGAAAGAUCGCACCAAAUGUUGUCACCUUCUCACCAAGCUGCUUGGCGAUGGUCUUGUAGCCCAUUCCAGCCUUGUGUAGGUCUACAAUCUUGUCCCUGACAUCCUUGGAGAGCUCUUUGGUCUUGGCCAUGGUGGAGAGUUUGGAAUCUGAUUGAUUGAUUGCUUCUGUGGACAGGUGUCUUUUAUACAGGUAACAAGCUGAGAUUAGGAGCACUCCCUUUUAGAGUGUGCUCCUAAUCUCAGCUCGUUACCUGUAUAAAAGACACCUGGGAGCCAGAAAUCUUUC